rnacentral:pre_miRNA from 1 species
GAUUUCAGCUGAAAAAGUCAUCAACAACAAAGUUGUAUAAUUAAAAUCUAUAACUUCUAUUUUGGUCAUUUCUUUAUCCGACAAAGUUAUUUAUAAGAUUGUUCACAAAAUGUACAUAUCUUAUAAACUAUAUAAGAGAUAUGUACAUUUUGUGAACAAUCUUAUAAAUAACUUUGUCAGAUAAAGAAAUGAUCAAAAUAAAAGUUAUAGAUCUUGAUGAGUUAUACAACUUUAUUAUUGAUGACUUUUACAGAUGAAAUC